AACAAGAAUAUGAAUGAAAGGAUUCACGUCAAGGGAGGAUAUAGACUUCAUCUAAGCUGCAGAAAGGUUUUCCUCAAGUGAGAAGCUGAACAAGCAGAAAAGAUGAAUAUUUCAAGAUUGAUGAAUGUUUUCAACAGAGGAAAAGAUAAUUCAAUUAUGGAAGUCAUUGCCUUGGGCUGCUGAGAGGCAAGCAACUUAUCAUGUCGCAAAGGGAAACAGGCAAUUAAUAUGCUGAAGAAUAUCUACAUCUAAUAAUUAACACUAAUAAAGAUUCACAAACAACACAA